rnacentral:rRNA from 1 species
GACGAACGCUGGCGGCGUGCUUAACACAUGCAAGUCGAACGGAAAGGCCCUGCUUUUGUAGGUUGCUCGAGUGGCGAACGGGUGAGUAACACGUGAGUAACCUGCCCUUGACUUUGGGAUAACUUCAGGAAACUGGGGCUAAUACCGGAUAGGAGCUCCUGCUGCAUGGUGGGGGUUGGAAAGUUUCGGUGGUUGGGGAUGGACUCUCGGGUUAUCAGCUUGUUGGUGGGGUAGUGGCUUACCAAGGCUUUGACGGGUAGCCGGCCUGAGAGGGUGACCGGCCACAUUGGGACUGAGAUACGGCGCAGACUCCUACGGGAGGCAGCAGUGGGGAAUAUUGCACAAUGGGCGGGAGCCUGAUGCAGCAACGCCGCGUGCGGGAUAACGGCCUUCGGGUUGUAAACCGCUUUCGCCUGUGACGAAGCGUGAGUGACGGUAAUGGGUAAAGAAGCACCGGCUAACUACGUG